AGCUGUGACGAGCAUCGCUUUCUUCUGACACCUCUUGUAUGAGAAGUGCGCCCCACUCUCUCGAGAGAGGCACCCUUCGUUGAGCAGAGUAUAGCAACUGUCUGAGCU